rnacentral:rRNA from 1 species
UACGUAGGCAGCGAGCGUUGUUCGGAAUUACUGGGCGUAAAGAGUGUGUAGGCGGUGCUCUAAGUUCGGUGUGAAAUCUCCUGGCUCAACUGGGAGGGUGCGCCGGAAACUGGAGUGCUUGAGCGUGGGAGAGGAAAGCGGAAUUCCUGGUGUAGCGGUGAAAUGCGUAGAUAUCAGGAGGAACACCUGUGGUGUAGAUGGCUUUCUGGACCAUAGCUGACGCUGAGACACGAAAGCGUGGGUAGCAAACAGG